rnacentral:rRNA from 1 species
GACGAACGCUGGCGGCGUGCUUAACACAUGCAAGUCGAACGAGUGGCGAACGGGUGAGUAAUUCGUGAGUAACCUGCCCUCUUUUUGGGAUAAGCCUUGGAAACGAGGUCUAAUACCGGAUAACGGGGGCUGGGCUCGGGGCCUAUCAGCUUGUUGGUGGGGUGAUGGCCUACCAAGGCGGUGACGGGGAGCCGGGCUGCGAGGGUGACCGGCCACAUUGGGGCGGCGCGACCGCACAGACUCCUACGGGAGGCAGCAGUGGGGGUUAGUGCACAAAGGGCGAAAGGCUUAUGCAGCGACGCGUCGUGGGGGAUGAAGGCUUUCGGUUUGUAAUCCUCUUUCGCUAGCGAACGGGUAGGUUAAGAAGAAGCGCCGGCUAACUACGUGCCAGCAGCCGCGGUAAUAC